UACAGAGGGUGCAAGCGUUGUUCGGAAUUAUUGGGCGUAAAGAGCUCGUAGGCGGCUUGUCACGUCGGUUGUGAAAGCCCGGGGCUUAACCCCGGGUCUGCAGUCGAUACGGGCAGGCUAGAGUUCGGUAGGGGAGAUCGGAAUUCCUGGUGUAGCGGUGAAAUGCGCAGAUAUCAGGAGGAACACCGGUGGCGAAGGCGGAUCUCUGGGCCGAUACUGACGCUGAGGAGCGAAAGCGUGGGGAGCGAACAGG
rnacentral:rRNA from 1 species